UCUUACCGCAUGUGUUUAUGUACCCCUCAUCUCGGCCAGGAAGGGUCUAUAUAUGUGUGUGUGUCUAUGGGUGACAGGUGUUAUGAUACAUCGGUACUAAAGAUGUUAUCGGUUAGAGAUUGGAA
ensembl:ncRNA ZK381.51 ncRNA